rnacentral:rRNA from 1 species
GACAGAGGGGGCAAGCGUUGCUCGGAAUUACUGGGCGUAAAGGGCGCGUAGGCGGGAUGGCAAGUCGGUCGUGAAAUCCCUCGGCUCAACUGAGGAACGUCGAUCGAUACUGCUGUUCUUGAGGAUUGCAGAGGAGACUGGAAUUCCCGGUGUAGCGGUGAAAUGUGUAGAGAUCGGGAGGAACACCGGUGGCGAAGGCGGGUCUCUGGGCAAUUCCUGACGCUGAGGCGCGAAGGCGUGGGGAGCGAACGGG